GAGCCGGGGCCGGAUCCUGCCCAGCACCCUGCGCUGGGCACCCCCAGCACCGCACCCACCCCCAGGAGCCGCACAUCUCCACUUAGGGAAAUUGGCUGCGAUUUAAAUUAAUGGCAAGCGAGCGAAUUGACUAUUAACGAGGUGCAAAUACCGCUGCGAACCCAGGGACUUCAUUUAAUGACUUGGAAACAAGUUCUUGACCUACUUCCAACUUGCAAAAUCCUUCGUGAAAUCGCAGGCGGCGGCGCAGAUGAAAAUAAAUUAAAGGAGCCGGCGCCGGGCCCCCACGCAGCGGGUGGCGAUGGGCUGCCCCCAGGGCCGAGCUGCAGCCCCACCGCAUCACGGGCACAAAGUGGGCACAAAGGGGGUGAAAAAGGCUCUGCAGGUGUUGUUACCCCAGCAAAGCCCCUGCUGGGACCUCUCUGCCCCCAAAUCCCAGCACUGCUGGAUUCGCAUCCCCGAUCAAUGGGAUGCGAUAGUGGGGGGACACGCAGAGCUUUGGGGUGUCCCCCCCCGGGGCUCCCCAUCACCUGCCGAGCCCCGGGCGGCCCUGGCUGUCUCUUGCCAUUUUUUCCUCCCCGUUUUUUAUUUAAUUUUUUCCGUCAGCCGCAUCCGGCCGCGUUGCCAUGGGAACGCAGCAGCAGCCCCGGCUGUCUAGACGCCGCGCCCCAGGAGCCCGGCACUUGGGCAGGAUGCGACCCCGGCACCCAUGGGUGCCCCCACCGCGAGCAUCAGCUCCGUCCCACGGCACCCCCCGACCCCCCCCCCCCAGCCCCUUCCCAAAGCUGUCCCCAGCUCUAUCAGCCCGGGGGAUGCAGCCCGGUGGCAGCUGGUGGUGCCAGCCCACGGGUGUCCCCCCAAAGUAGUCCAAAAGUCACCAAGUGCUGCACAAGGCAGCUUACAGCCAGCACCCUCCCAUUUUUGGGGUUUGGCUCCAGUUUAGGGAAAGGAAACUGAGGCAGAGCAUGGAGAUGCCUGACGGGGGGACGAGCAUCUCAAGCAGCUCACACCAGGGUCCCCAAAUCCCUGCCCGGGCUGUGACACCACAGGCAAUGGGCUUGGUUCCUCGGGGUGAGCCGAGGUGGGACCCACGGGGCAGGAGACCCCCCCAAG